AAAUAAAAUCUUUUUAAUCAAUAAAUAAAAAAUAAAAACAUGUAAAUACCGAGCGCUCCUUAUUUCCUUUACUAAUGGCUUUUUAAUUAUUUCAUUGUCCGUAACAUUUAUUCAGCUUUUCACAAAUGGAGCCAGAAUACAGAGAAAUGAAAGCGGGCCUUCAUGCCCCAAGUCCGAUAAUCCUUGUUGACAUUUUUUUUUAAUAAAAUCAAUGCCUCCAUCUGGUGAAGAAUGUAAACAAUAGAGAAAGGUAGAGCGGUAAACAGUCAGUGGGUCCCUCCUCUCCCCGGUCCCUCUCCCCAAAAGUAACCACUGUUCACAGUUGACUGAAGGAUUUUUAACUUUAUGACUCACCUGGUUCCUUGAAAGAGAAAGAUUUCCCAGGACAUAGUUAAAGGGGAGUAGAUUGAGACCUAGGUUUUGGGAAUUUGGGAAACAUCGCUCCGCGGAUAAUCAUGGAGACUUAGGGGGACAGCCAAAGGGCGUUGGGAGUUUGGAGGGAGGGUUUGGAGCAGGAGAGGAGCGGGGAGGGAGGGUGUGGGUGUCUACCUCCCUGGAGCAUGGGCUCUGUCAGCCCCUCAGGAGUGAAAGAGCAGAGGCUAGUGUCCUGGGCUCAAGGCCAACGUAUCUGUUCAUUGUUUGUUCUGGCCACCCUCUUGGUCAACAGAGAAGGCAGGAGAGGCUGAUUUGCAGAGCUGCUGCAGAGCUGGGAUUACCGUCCAGGUUCUUCGUUCAGAGGCUGAACCAAGUCUCAGGCGUUUCCAUUCAGGCACUGGGCUCGGUGGAUUUUAUCUGCGGCGAGGACAUGGAUGGCGCUGGAGAGUUAUCACACUAAAUGAAAUAAGUCAGAGAAAGACAAAUACGCUAUGAUGUCACUCAUAGGUAGAAUUGAAGAAACAAACGAACAAAGGAAAAAAAGAGAGAGACAAACCAAGAAAUAGACUAACUAGAGAGAACAAACUGCUGGUUCCCCCUGCAGAGGGGGCGGGGGAGAACAGGGAAUGUGGAUGAGGGAGUGCCCUGAUGAGCACUGAGCGACGUGUGUUAGUGUGAAAUCACUCAAUGGCACACCCGAAACUAACAGAACACUGUACGCUAACUAUACGGAAAUAAAAUAAAAGAUUUCAUCCGCAGUCAAAUGCACCUGAGCCCAGACUCCUCUCCUUUGUCCACCUCCUUUUCUGGACACUCUUAAGAUCUUGCCCAGUAAGCGGAUAAAAC
rnacentral:lncRNA from 1 species